GUGGCCGUAGCCAAGAGGCAAAGGCACCCGGUUGUGAUCCGGGUAAUCGACGGUUCGAGUCCGUCCGGCCACCCCA
rnacentral:tRNA from 1 species